rnacentral:rRNA from 1 species
AGAAUCAACGCUGGCGGCGUGCCUAACACAUGCAAGUCGCACGAGAAAGGGACUUCGGUCCUGAGUACAGUGGCGCACGGGUGAGUAACACGUGAAUCAUCUACCUCCGAGUGGGGAAUAACUGAGAGAAAUCUUAGCUAAUACCGCAUAACACUUACGAGUCAAAGCAGCAAUGCGCUUGGAGAGGAGUUCGCGGCAGAUUAGUUAGUUGGCGGGGUAAUGGCCCACCAAGACGAUGAUCUGUAUCCGGCCUGAGAGGGCGCACGGACACACUGGAACUGAAACACGGUCCAGACUCCUACGGGAGGCAGCAGUGGGGAAUUUUGCGCAAUGGGGAAACCCUGACGCAGCAACGCCGCGUGGAGGAUGAAAUCCCUUGGGAUGUAAACUCCUUUCGAUCGGGAAGAUAAUGACGGUACCGAGAGAAGAAGCCCCGGCUAACUUCGCGCCAGCAGCCGC